rnacentral:rRNA from 1 species
CGUGUAGGCGGUCAAGUAAGUGGGAUGUGAAACGCCUCGGCUUACCCGAGGACCUGCAUCCCAAACUGCUUGGCUUGAGUAUGGGAGAGGAUGAGGGAAUUCCUGGUGUAGCGGUGAAAUGCGUAGAUAUCAGGAGGAACACCGGUGGCGAAAGCGCUCAUCUGGCCCAAUACUGACGCUGAGGCGCGAAAGCUAGGGAGCAAACG